rnacentral:tRNA from 1 species
GGAUUGUGGCUCAGUUGGCAGAGUACUUGCCUGGCACAUGUGAGGCACUGGGUUUGAUCCCCGGCACCA